UACGGGGGGGGCAAGCGUUGUUCGGAAUUACUGGGCGUAAAGGGCUCGUAGGCGGCCAACUAAGUCAGACGUGAAAUCCCUCGGCUUAACCGGGGAACUGCGUCUGAUACUGGAUGGCUUGAGUGUGGGAGAGGGAUGCGGAAUUCCAGGUGUAGCGGUGAAAUGCGUAGAUAUCUGGAGGAACACCGGUGGCGAAGGCGGCCUGCUGGGCAGUAGCUGACACUGAGGCGCGACAGCGUGGGGAGCAAACAGG
rnacentral:rRNA from 1 species